UACGGAGGGUGCAAGCGUUAUCCGGAUUUACUGGGUUUAAAGGGAGCGCAGGCGGAUUGGUAAGUCAGUGGUGAAAUACCCGUGCUUAACAUGGGAACUGCCAUUGAUACUAUCAGUCUUGAAUGUUGUUGAGGUUUGCGGAAUGGGUCAUGUAGCGGUGAAAUGCAUAGAUAUCUGGAGGAACACCGGUGGCGAAGGCGGCAUCCUGGACCAACACUGACGCUGAGGAGCGAAAGCCAGGGGAGCAAACGGG
rnacentral:rRNA from 1 species